GCACCCUGAUCCAGCCAUGCCGCGUGUGUGAAGAAGGCCCUCGGGUUGUAAAGCACUUUCAGCGAGGAAGAACGCCUGGCGGUUAAUACCCGCCAGGAAAGACAUCACUCGCAGAAGAAGCACCGGCUAACUCCGUGCCAGCAGCCGCGGUAAUACGGAGGGUGCAAGCGUUAAUCGGAAUUACUGGGCGUAAAGCGCGCGUAGGUGGCUUGAUAAGCCGGUUGUGAAAGCCCCGGGCUCAACCUGGGAACGGCAUCCGGAACUGUCAGGCUAGAGUGCAGGAGAGGAAGGUAGAAUUCCCGGUGUAGCGGUGAAAUGCGUAGAGAUCGGGAGGAAUACCAGUGGCGAAGGCGGCCUUCUGGACUGACACUGACACUGAGGUGCGAAAGCGUGGGUAGCAAACAGGAUUAGAUACCCUGGUAGUCCACGCCGUAAACGAUGUCGACCAGCCGUUGGGUGCCUAGCGCACUUUGUGGCGAAGUUAACGCGAUAAGUCGACCGCCUGGGGAGUACGGCCGCAAGGUUAAAACUCAAA
rnacentral:rRNA from 1 species